UCGAAAUUCCGGCAGAUACCUUCCGUGAGCAGCUGCCAAAAGCAGUCGAGAUGAUGCAGGCACAUAAAGAUAAAAAAAUCGUCAUGUACUGCACCGGCGGCAUUCGUUGUGAAAAGGCCAGUGCCUGGAUGAAACAUAACGGAUUCAACAAAGUCUG
rnacentral:misc_RNA from 1 species